CACCGCUGUUACAGAAGCUUCUAGUGCUUCUCUGUUUUUUACUUUUCUCUCCCUUUAUCUGAUGUAUAAAUAUACACAUUGCUAUUUCAAUAAAUGACACACAGCACACAGUGCGUUGCAUGCCUCUGAUACGUGUUAAUUCUGUUGAGAUUUCUCUGAUAUUUAUCAUGGUAUCCAGAGCCUAACGGUCAUCUUCUCCUU
rnacentral:lncRNA from 1 species